AGGAUAAUUGUGUUGUUCGGGUUUCUGACUUAUCCUAUCCACUCUCUUGUAUUUAUGAAUUAAACUCAUUCAUUAAUGUUAAUGUCACUUUCUAAGUUACUUUAAACUUGAUGUCUCGGUGAAGAAAGCCUACUCCUAAUUACUAGUUCAUAAUGUCUUAUAUACCUAGCAACUAAUCAUGCAUUACAUUCGCACAGAAGCUUAAAGGCAAUCAAUCCUCUUAUUCCUAUGUGUAGGUAAUAUUGCUCCCG
rnacentral:lncRNA from 1 species